rnacentral:rRNA from 1 species
UACAGAGGGUGCAAGCGUUAAUCGGAAUUACUGGGCGUAAAGCGUGCGUAGACGGUUAUUUAAGUCAGGUGUGAAAGCCCCGGGCUCAACCUGGGAAUUGCAUUUGAGACUGAAUAGCUAGGGUGCGGAAGAGGGAAGCGGAAUUUCCGGUGUAGCGGUGAAAUGCGUAGAUAUCGGAAGGAACACCUGUGGUGUAGACGGCUUUCUGGACAACUCCUGACGCUGAGACACGAAAGCGUGGGUAGCAAACAGG